GAUGAACGCUAGCUACAGGCUUAACACAUGCAAGUCGAGGGGCAGCAUUUUAGUUUGCUUGCAAACUAAAGAUGGCGACCGGCGCACGGGUGAGUAACACGUAUCCAACCUGCCGAUAACUCGGGGAUAGCCUUUCGAAAGAAAGAUUAAUAUCCGAUGGUAUAUUAAAACCGCAUGGUUUUACUAUUAAAGAAUUUCGGUUAUCGAUGGGGAUGCGUUCCAUUAGUUUGUUGGCGGGGUAACGGCCCACCAAGACUACGAUGGAUAGGGGUUCUGAGAGGAAGGUCCCCCACAUUGGAACUGAGACACGGUCCAAACUCCUACGGGAGGCAGCAGUGAGGAAUAUUGGUCAAUGGACGAGAGUCUGAACCAGCCAAGUGGCGUGAAGGAUGACUGCCCUAUGGGUUGUAAACUUCUUUUAUAUGGGAAUAAAGUAUUCCACGUGUGGGAUUUUGUAUGUACCAUAUGAAUAAGGAUCGGCUAACUCCGUGCCAGCAGCCGCGGUAAUACGGAGGAUCCGAGCGUUAUCCGGAUUUAUUGGGUUUAAAGGGAGCGUAGGUGGAUUGUUAAGUCAGUUGUGAAAGUUUGCGGCUCAACCGUAAAAUUGCAGUUGAAACUGGCAGUCUUGAGUACAGUAGAGGUGGGCGGAAUUCGUGGUGUAGCGGUGAAAUGCUUAGAUAUCACGAAGAACUCCGAUUGCGAAGGCAGCUCACUAGACUGCAACUGACACUGAUGCUCGAAAGUGUGGGUAUCAAACAGGAUUAGAUACCCUGGUAGUCCACACAGUAAACGAUGAAUACUCGCUGUUUGCGAUAUACAGUAAGCGGCCAAGCGAAAGCAUUAAGUAUUCCACCUGGGGAGUACGCCGGCAACGGUGAAACUCAAAGGAAUUGACGGGGGCCCGCACAAGCGGAGGAACAUGUGGUUUAAUUCGAUGAUACGCGAGGAACCUUACCCGGGCUUAAAUUGCAUUUGAAUAAUCUGGAAACAGGUUAGCCGCAAGGCAAAUGUGAAGGUGCUGCAUGGUUGUCGUCAGCUCGUGCCGUGAGGUGUCGGCUUAAGUGCCAUAACGAGCGCAACCCUUAUCUUUAGUUACUAACAGGUCAUGCUGAGGACUCUAGAGAGACUGCCGUCGUAAGAUGUGAGGAAGGUGGGGAUGACGUCAAAUCAGCACGGCCCUUACGUCCGGGGCUACACACGUGUUACAAUGGGGGGUACAGAAGGCAGCUACCUGGUGACAGGAUGCUAAUCCCAAAAACCUCUCUCAGUUCGGAUCGAAGUCUGCAACCCGACUUCGUGAAGCUGGAUUCGCUAGUAAUCGCGCAUCAGCCAUGGCGCGGUGAAUACGUUCCCGGGCCU
rnacentral:rRNA from 1 species